UUUUGAGUUACAACUUUAACAAACUUGAAAUGCCUCAAUCCUAAAAGCUUGACGAGUCUAACCCAGGACAAAUUCUGAUAUUGAAGUCAACUUGCAGAUUCAUGCAAGUAAUGUGGGCCAAGAAUUGAUGGCGGGUUGCCAAAUUUUUGGAACUUGGCUAUCACAGCAAGGUUGUAUUUUAGCCAAUCCACUUGAUCAUUUAAUGAUUUGCAGCUAAAGGGAACGAUAGAAUUGAUGAACAAGUUGCAUCGCAUGUAGGGUCCCUUACUUGAUCCAAUUGCAGAAGCUUUGUUUCCCAAGUUCGUAAAUGUCCAUAUGCAAUGUGCCCACAGGAAAUUGAAACGGUACAAAAACCAGUGGUCAAUGAUAGGGCAUGAGAAGCAACUUGCAAUUUUUAGGACAAAGACUCAUGCAUCGUCAUCUGAAUUUAUCCAGAUGAUCCCAUUAUUAUUGUCUUUAAUGUUCUGUUACUGGAUUUGAAGGCGGACCAUCAGAGCCUUAAGGUGAGGGUCAAUGAGUCUUGCUAAGAUAUUUAGUAAGAUCGUUGUAUAUGUAUAAUAAAUACAUAGAAUUCACUAUAACUAAUGAUUGCAAUAUAAUUAUUAUACAUAUAUUUUAAAAUUUUUGCUAUGUAGACCUCAGGAGUGUCGGUUAAGG
rnacentral:misc_RNA from 1 species